GAUGAACGCUGGCGGUGUGCCUAAUACAUGCAAGUCGAGCGAACAGACGAGGAGCUUGCUCCUCUGACGUUAGCGGCGGACGGGUGAGUAACACGUGGAUAACCUACCUAUAAGACUGGGAUAACUUCGGGAAACCGGAGCUAAUACCGGAUAAUAUAUUGAACCGCAUGGUUCAAUAGUGAAAGACGGUUUUGCUGUCACUUAUAGAUGGAUCCUCGCCGCAUUAGCUAGUUGGUAAGGUAACGGCUUACCAAGGCAACGAUGCGUAGCCGACCUGAGAGGGUGAUCGGCCACACUGGAACUGAGACACGGUCCAGACUCCUACGGGAGGCAGCAGUAGGGAAUCUUCCGCAAUGGGCGAAAGCCUGACGGAGCAACGCCGCGUGAGUGAUGAAGGUCUUCGGAUCGUAAAACUCUGUUAUUAGGGAAGAACAAAUGUGUAAGUAACUAUGCACGUCUUGACGGUACCUAAUCAGAAAGCCACGGCUAACUACGUG
rnacentral:rRNA from 1 species